GCCCCCAUUCUCACUGACACGACGUGGCCGGGAAAUAAACAAAGACCAGACUGUGCACGGGAAGAGGUAACGGGCUCACGGCUCGGCUCAAGGGGACAGCAGCACGUGGGACGAUAAAGGUAAGAGAGUUUCCUCAGGCCUGAAACGUUCAACUUUAUACAGUCCUUUAAACUCUUACUGAAGGGCCACAUACCGCUAAGAUUUAAAGCA
rnacentral:lncRNA from 1 species